CGAACGAGCAUUUUUUUUCGGAAUGAUAUGCUGAGUGGCGGACGGGUGAGUAACGCGUGGGUACCUGCCUCACACAGGGGGAUAGCAGUUGGAAACGACUGGUAAUACCGCAUAAGUUCGCAUGAAAAAAACUCCGGUGGUGUGAGAUGGACCCGCGUCUGAUUAGGUAGUUGGUGAGGUAACGGCCCACCAAGCCGACGAUCAGUAGCCGACCUGAGAGGGUGACCGGCCACAUUGGGACUGAGACACGGCCCAGACUCCUACGGGAGGCAGCAGUGGGGAAUAUUGCACAAUGGAGGAAACUCUGAUGCAGCGACGCCGCGUGAGUGAAGAAGUAUUUCGGUAUGUAAAGCUCUAUCAGCAGGGAAGACAGUGACGGUACCUGACUAAGAAGCUCCGGCUAAAUACGUGCCAGCAGCCGCGGUAAUACGUAUGGAGCAAGCGUUAUCCGGAUUUACUGGGUGUAAAGGGAGUGUAGGUGGUAUCACAAGUCAGAAGUGAAAGCCCGGGGCUCAACCCCGGGACUGCUUUUGAAACUGUGGAACUGGAGUGCAGGAGAGGUAAGUGGAAUUC
rnacentral:rRNA from 1 species